CAGCGGCUCAGCGAGUUCGGCUACGCGACGGGCUGGCGGCUCGUCCGGCGGCUGCCGCGGUCGUUCGGGUCGGCGCUGUUCGCC
rnacentral:tRNA from 1 species